rnacentral:rRNA from 1 species
AUGGAGACCUGUAUGAAUGGCAUAACGAGGGCUCAACUGUCUCCUUUUUCAAGUCAGUGAAAUUGAUCUCCCCGUGCAGAAGCGGGGAUACUUACAUAAGACGAGAAGACCCUAUGGAGCUUUAGACACCAAGGCAGAUUACGUUAAUAAAUCCCGCAUAAGGGGACAAACAAGAUAAGCCCUGCCCUAAUGUC